UUAGUAGUAAUAGAGAGGGCUGAUGUGUAUCCAUGGACCCUUUGUUGUUGUAAGUUUGAUAAAAAUUAUGAUGUCCUCAAGAUCUUAUUUUCUGACCUACGCCCAGACCCUCAUCUUUGUGUUAUAGCCCCAAAAUGGUUGAUCAUGCAUUGCAGGAAUAUUCUAGUAGGAGUGAUAUAUUUUGUGUGCCAGAUCUAAGCUUCCUACACAUGUUGAUGGAAGCAAUGCAUGAUCCGUUAAAGGGCAAAGUCUUCCAAAUUCUUCUGCCUCAACUCAUGCUUCAGUUUUUGUAAAGGUAUGCGAUAUUUCACAUUAACUAAACACUUAAGUUCUGAACUUAUUUAAGAUAAUAUCAGUUCAUUUUAGUUGAACACAUGAUAAGUUUGUUGAUAUAUGUUAUAUUAGGUACUGGCAACUUUCUUAUUUUUAACACUGUUAAAAUUUUUAUGUUGGAGUAGUGUUUUUCUUCAUUUCUUGUCAUCUAUGUGAAUUUUUUAUUUAGACUAAACCUGAUUUUAGGAGCUUGUAUGUUGUCUAUAUUAAGAAAUAUUUUACCUUGAAUAGGUCAUUUAGAGAAAGAUAUGUAUUCUAAUUUGCCUUAUUCCUCCAUAACAAGAUUUGCUAGAUAAUCUGCAAAUGAAAUUUCCUCUUUGUAUAUGUGUUGCACCUGGAUUUUGAAACCUCUAUGAAAUUUCUUGUAUUUUUCUACUAUUGUACUAAUGUGCAAGGGUGUGGUCCACCUAUCUUCUCUUACAUUUUUUUCAUCAAAAGAGAGUCAUUCUUAAUUAUGAAAUUAGUAAAUUCUUGUACAACAUAGUAGGAUAGAGCUUCUCUAAUUGCAGUUUCCUCUACCUCAGCGUUUGGUAUGUCUGGGAAAACUUUAGCUUGAGCAAAUAUUAGGUCUCCAGUAUGUCUUCCAACACAUAUUUCAUAGGAGCUCUUAGAAGGAUUUCUCCAACUAGCACCAGCAAUAUUGCUUUAGUGAUGAUUCUCUCAGUUACUAUGAUGAAAUAUUUUGCAUUCUAGAAUAAUUGGUUUUAACCAACUGCCAUAUGUUGGUAUUUACAUGAUGUACUAGUCUACAAAAGUUGAUUCUUCCAUCAUGAUUCAUCUUGUUCCUCUUUUUCCAAAGCUCUCAUAGGAUGGUUAACCAUGACUAGUUUCGAGUGUCAAUUAUUUUCUAACAUUUAAUUUUCUUUUGAACGUGUAGAAAAAUAUAGGAGAUCAAAUUUGAAUAAUGGCCCGAGGUCAACUCAAUAUGUUGGAGCGAACGAUAUAGUGUAUUUGAACUAUUAUUAUAUAUGUUUGAAUACAUUGUGAAAUUUAUUGCUAGUACCCCUCUUUAAGAUAUUCCUUUCAAAGUAUGUAGUACAAGAC
rnacentral:lncRNA from 1 species